CCCCUCUCAGGGUCACACCUGGAGAGUUUCCAGUACUCUACCAGUCUUGGCUACGGGAGGGAGAGUCAGGCAGAGGCCUACCCUUUCCAUUCCCAGCUUAGCCAGCGGCUAGCGAGUGGAAGACGAUCUGCUACAAGU